GCUGCUUGCGGUCUGGGNUCACUCUNCUNAACAUGCAAGUCGAACGAUGAACCUCCUUCGGGAGGGGAUUAGUGGCGAACGGGUGAGUAACACGUGGGCAAUCUGCCCUUCACUCUGGGACAAGCCCUGGAAACGGGGUCUAAUACCGGAUACGACACGGGGUCGCAUGACCUCCGUGUGGAAAGCUCCGGCGGUGAAGGAUGAGCCCGCGGCCUAUCAGCUUGUUGGUGGGGUGAUGGCCUACCAAGGCGACGACGGGUAGCCGGCCUGAGAGGGCGACCGGCCACACUGGGACUGAGACACGGCCCAGACUCCUACGGGAGGCANCAGUGGGGAAUAUUGCACAAUGGGCGAAAGCCUGAUGCAGCGACGCCGCGUGAGGGAUGACGGCCUUCGGGUUGUAAACCUCUUUCAGCAGGGAAGAAGCGAGAGUGACGGUACCUGCAGAAGAAGCGCCGGCUAACUACGUGCCAGCAGCCGCGGUAAUACGUAGGGCGCAAGCGUUGUCCGGAAUUAUUGGGCGUAAAGAGCUCGUAGGCGGCUUGUCACGUCCGAUGUGAAAGCCCGGGGCUUAACCCCGGGUCUGCAUUCGAUACGGGCAGGCUANAGUUCGGUAGGGGAGAUCGGAAUUCCUGGUGUANCGGUGAAAUGCGCANAUAUCAGGAGGAACACCGGUGGCGAANGCGGAUCUCUGGGCCGAUACUGACGCUGAGGAGCGAAAGCGUGGGGAGCGAACAGGAUUAGAUACCCUGGUAGUCCACGCCGUAAACGUUGGGAACUAGGUGUGGGCGACAUUCCACGUNGUCCGUGCCGNANNUAACGCAUUAANUUCCCCGCCUGGGGANUACCGCCNCAAGGCUAAAACUCAAAGGAUUUGACGGGGGCCCCCNCAAACANCGGAACNUUNGGUUUANUUCNCC
rnacentral:rRNA from 1 species